AUUGAACGCUGGCGGCAUGCUUUACACAUGCAAGUCGAACGGUAACAGGCCUUCGGGUGCUGACGAGUGGCGAACGGGUGAGUAAUGCAUCGGAACGUACCCAGAGGUGGGGGAUAACGCAGCGAAAGCUGUGCUAAUACCGCAUGUGAUCUGAGGAUGAAAGCGGGGGACCGAGCAGCAAUGUUUGGCCUCGCGCCUUUGGAGCGGCCGAUGUCGGAUUAGCUAGUUGGUGGGGUAAAGGCCUACCAAGGCGACGAUCCGUUGCUGGUCUGAGAGGACGACCAGCCACACUGGGACUGAGACACGGCCCAGACUCCUACGGGAGGCAGCAGUGGGGAAUUUUGGACAAUGGGCGCAAGCCUGAUCCAGCAAUGCCGCGUGCGGGAAGAAGGCCUUCGGGUUGUAAACCGCUUUUGGCAGGAACGAAACGGUGUCCGCUAAUACCGGGCGCUAAUGACGGUACCUGCAGAAUAAGCACCGGCUAACUACGUG
rnacentral:rRNA from 1 species